rnacentral:misc_RNA from 1 species
GGCCAGGGUGAAUGGAGUUCAUAUUUUAAAAUUAAUUAAUUCAUGCAGUUUGUGUUUGAUCGAUAGAUUACAGAAAUCUAACGUAGAAUAAUUAUAUAUUAGUCUAAGAGGAUGACAUGUCUGUAUUAACUUGAAUCACGCGGACAUGGGGAUUGCCUUUCUUUUGCAUUUGUUCUCGAACCUAUCUGGUUUUAAUUGGUUCAAGUUGGGCUAUAGCAUUAUGAUUGUCUGGAAUCCAAUUAGCACAAUUGGCUGGUUGGAUUAGAGUUUUCUUUUAAAAAUCUUCGUGUGAAGAAAUACAUUCAAGUAAACACCUGCACAAGAUUAGGUAUGUCAAUAGUAAAGUUUUCG